AUUGAACGCUGGCGGCAGGCUUAACACAUGCAAGUCGAGCGGGGGAAGGUAGCUUGCUACCGGACCUAGCGGCGGACGGGUGAGUAAUGCUUAGGAAUCUGCCUAUUAGUGGGGGACAACAUCUCGAAAGGGAUGCUAAUACCGCAUACGUCCUACGGGAGAAAGCAGGGGAUCUUCGGCCCUUGCGCUAAUAGAUGAGCCUAAGUCGGAUUAGCUAGUUGGUGGGGUAAAGGCCUACCAAGGCGACGAUCUGUAGCGGGUCUGAGAGGAUGAUCCGCCACACUGGGACUGAGACACGGCCCAGACUCCUACGGGAGGCAGCAGUGGGGAAUAUUGGACAAUGGGGGGAACCCUGAUCCAGCCAUGCCGCGUGUGUGAAGAAAGCCUUAUGGUUGUAAAGCACUUUAAGCGAGGAGGAGGCUACUUUAGUUAAUACCUAGAGAUAGUGGACGUUACUCGCAGAAUAAGCACCGGCUAACUCUGUGCCAGCCGCCGCCGUAA
rnacentral:rRNA from 1 species